rnacentral:rRNA from 1 species
CGGCGGACGGGUGAGUAAUGCCUAGGAAUCUGCCUGGUAGUGGGGGAUAACGUUCGGAAACGGACGCUAAUACCGCAUACGUCCUACGGGAGAAAGCAGGGGACCUUCGGGCCUUGCGCUAUCAGAUGAGCCUAGGUCGGAUUAGCUAGUUGGUGGGGUAAUGGCUCACCAAGGCGACGAUCCGUAACUGGUCUGAGAGGAUGAUCAGUCACACUGGAACUGAGACACGGUCCAGACUCCUACGGGAGGCAGCAGUGGGGAAUAUUGGACAAUGGGCGAAAGCCUGAUCCAGCCAUGCCGCGUGUGUGAAGAAGGUCUUCGGAUUGUAAAGCACUUUAAGUUGGGAGGAAGGGUUGUAGAUUAAUACUCUGCAAUUUUGACGUUACCGACAGAAUAAGCACCGGCUAACUCUGUGCCAGCAGCCGCGGUAAUACAGAGGGUGCAAGCGUUAAUCGGAAUUACUGGGCGUAAAGCGCGCGUAGGUGGUUUGUUAAGUUGGAUGUGAAAUCCCCGGGCUCAACCUGGGAACUGCAUUCAAAACUGACUGACUAGAGUAUGGUAGAGGGUGGUGGAAUUUCCUGUGUAGCGGUGAAAUGCGUAGAUAUAGGAA